rnacentral:rRNA from 1 species
GGGUGAGUAACACGUGGGUGACCUGCCUUCGAGUGGGGGAUAACGACCCGAAAGGGUCGCUAAUACCGCAUGACAUCCUGCCUUUGAAGAGGCGGAGAUCAAAGCCGGGGAUCGCAAGACCUGGCGCUUGGAGAGGGGCCCGCGGCUGAUUAGCUAGUUGGUGAGGUAACGGCUCACCAAGGCAACGAUCAGUAUCCGGCCUGAGAGGGCGGACGGACACACUGGGACUGAGACACGGCCCAGACUCCUACGGGAGGCAGCAGUGGGGAAUUGUUCGCAAUGGGCGCAAGCCUGACGACGCAACGCCGCGUGGAGGAUGAAGAUCUUCGGGUCGUAAACUCCUUUCGAUCGAGACGAACGGCUUCCGGGCUAAUCACCGGGAGAGUGACGGUACCGAGAGAAGAAGCCCCGGCUAACUCCGUGCCAGCAGCCGCGGUAAUACGGGGGGGGCAAGCGUUGUUCGGAAUUACUGGGCGUAAAGGGCUAGUAGGUGGCCAACUAAGUCAGACGUGAAAUCCCUCGGCUUAACCGAGGAAUUGCGUCUGAUACUGGAUGGCUCGAGUUUGGGAGAGGGAUGCGGAAUUCCAGGUGUAGCGGUGAAAUGCGUAGAUAUCUGGAGGGACACCGGUGGCGAAGGCGGCAUCCUGGACCAAUACUGACGCUGAAUAGCGAAAGCCAGGGGAGCAAACGGGAUUAGAUACCCCGGUAGUCCUGGCCCUGAACGAUGAAUGCUUGGUGUGGCGGGUAUCGAUCCCUGCCGUGCCGAAGCUAACGCAUUAAGCAUUCCGCCUG